UUUUACACCUACCUUCUGAGUCCAGAUUUUGUUUCUUUGAAAGAGUGGGGCACCUGUGCUCAUUUUUGAGUGAGGGACUUGUCAUUUUUUAUCUCACACAACAUAAAAUUAACUUGCAUAAAUCAUCAGUUUUUCUAUAUAUCACCAACAAUGGCCCUGCAAGAAGAGAUAGUAAAAGAUAGCCCUUUUAAAUUAACUAUAGAUGAAUAAAAUACCUAACAGUAUAUCUGCCAAAACAAACCCAGAAACUAUAUUUAGAAAUGUCCAUUGUUCAUGAAUGGGCAGAGUCAAUAAAUUAAAAUAACAAUUCUUCCCAAACUAAUUUACUUAUUCAAUACCAUCCCAAUUAAAUUACCUGGGCUGGGUCUAGUGAGUAUUUGGAUGGGCAUCUGUCUGGGGGGAAAGCCAGAUAUCUGGACUCUAGAGAACUUAGUAAAAUCAAGAGUUCAGGAUUUGGAGUCAGAAGACCUGAAUUGAGAUCCCAACUCUGCUACUCAGCUCUGAGAUGAUGGGUGGAACUCGAAGGAAACCAGGGAAAGCAGGAGGCAGGGAUGAGGAAGGAAAACAUUCCAGGCAUGGGGCAGAAAAUGCUGUGACCCAAAAGAUGGAGCAUCUCCCAGCUGGAAUUCGAGCCCAGAUUCUCUUCUUUCCACCACACUGUCUACUGGCAUGGCAGCAAUCCCCAGGGUAUUCAAGAAUGGAUUAACAACAUGGCACCAGAAGACAUCAAGCCAUCAGCUCAUGCCCAAAGAAGCCCGUCUAUUAGCUGCGAAUAGAUCAUCGGUUGUUAUGCUGCCUGACAAUGGAGAAACAACAGCGAUGGCAUGAGAAAACCGCAACGGCGGGCCAACAGGCUAGCCAGGACAUUUGGUAGAACGCAGACGCCUACGCCGAAUCAUAUUCUAAUGAAUCACGGUUAGAUGUGUUGGAGAUUACUUUGCCUAUGACACAUUAACAGCAUGUUUGAAGCAUAUUUUGUAUUGUUUUUUUUAAUACUGUCUGUAAUUACAAAAAAAAUGGAACUUUUCUGCUUGCAAAUUAAUUUUGGGAAGGAGUGAUGAUGAAGGCUUAACUGUUGACUCAUUUGCACCCUCUGGGAGGUCAGGGAUAUUUCACAGUCAAAUUGGUUUUCAUUUACUCUACUCUUGGGCUGCCCAUGUCUACACACUCCUGAGGUAGUGCACUAUCUAGAAAUAAGUACUCAUUUGGAUAAUGCUGAGACGACAACCUGUCCUUCUUCGAAAUACUAUAGGCAGCCCCCCUAAAUCAAAGAUAUGGCUUUAAAAAAGGCAAUGAUUUUGGAGUUAAGGAAAAGGUUGCUAUACUUUUCAUUCUAGCUCAUCUGCCCCAUCAAACCGGGGGCAUAUUAUAUGGGGGCUUCCAGGCAAUAAAGCCAGCUUUGUAGGGAGCCUUCCA
rnacentral:lncRNA from 1 species